GGAAUCUUCCACAAUGGACGCAAGUCCGAUGGAGCAACGCCGCGUGAGUGAAGAAGGGUUUCGGCUCGUAAAGCUCUGUUGUUAAAGAAGAACGUGGGUAAGAGUAACUGUUUACCCAGUGACGGUAUUUAACCAGAAAGCCACGGCUAACUACGUGCCAG
rnacentral:rRNA from 1 species